GUGGCCUGUUUUAGGUGCCUCACCCUGUAUACUUAAUGAUAAAAUAUACGUUUUCGAAUUCUUGUGUUAUCUUUACUUUCGCAGCAUUUUUAAGCUACAGUUAAAGCCCAUUAAUACCGGUACUAAAUCUUUCCAUAAUCAACACGAAUUUCUCUUGCCGAUAAGGUAUCAACAUGUAAUUCAGCACGAAAACGUCAUAACGUGUGAUCGAGAUUUGCUACAACAGCCUGUAUCACGCAACAAGCUAAUGAAAGGACUAAAAUAUAAUAAAAUAAUAAAAUACGCAUGUAUCGAAUGAUGUGUCGAAGGAAAUAUCGUCCUUCUGGACAUUACCAACUAGAGCCAACAGAUCAAAGACGAUGCAUCCGCCGAUACCUGAUGACCGAACUGAGGCUCCGAUGGCACGCACGCGGCGCACACAUGGGAACGCUAAUUCAUCACGCGCGCACAUAUUAAAUAGACGCAAUCAAUCCGCGCCACCUCCAUGGUACACGACCCGGUGCUGUACAUAUGAUGCAUUUCCACGUCAUCAACUUCGUUUGCGAAACGGCAAUUUCUCUGCUGCACCGCGACAGUUUGCACUGGGUUUUCGUGCAUGCCGUGAAAUCCAAUUGUAAUUGAGCACGUGUACUUAGGCAAGAAAUAUGAAACUAUGAUUUUCCCUGUUUCAGAGACGAUUUGUCCAGCUUUCAAUGUUUAAUAUAAAAGCAGGCACGCACCGUCAAUUGCGGCACGAGAGACCUGGUUGUAUCGUUCAUCACGAUGUCGAUAACGAGAUCACUGUGCUUCACAGUACGGUUGACAAAAAACCGCAAACGUUGCACGGAAUUUUCAUCUGAAUAUACACGAAUGUAUUGCGAAUGAGUAGACGAGGAUUGUAUUCUCCUCCUAUGCGGUCGCUCGUACAUUGAAAUUUCGAACUUAUCGGAAAUAAUAAUAUAAAAAUGGCAAACUGUAAUUUUUGUAAAGUAGCGUAUGUACAUUCUACAUGUAUAUAUCUUAUCGGAAAUGGGCUGCUAACUUCUUCGUAAGCAUCGAGCAGCUUUUCCUCGGACACGUUUUUACUCUUUAUCGCAAGAAAAUUUCCCAGCGUGCUGGGUUGCCUUAAAAGAAAUUAAUUAAUUCAACGAGCGAGUAAGUAAACUACAAAAAAGCAAUGAAAGAUUAAAACUUCCUGCAUUUGUACCUGCUACAUUAAUAUUUAAUAUUAAUUAUUCUAUCCAA